UACAGAGGGCCCAAGCGUUGUUCGGAUUCACUGGGCGUAAAGGGCGCGUAGGUGGUCUUUUAAGUCUGAGGUGAAAUCUCCGAGCUCAACUCGGAAACUGCCUUGGAUACUAUCCGGCUUGAGGGUUGGAGGGGGGACUGGAAUUCUCGGUGUAGCAGUGAAAUGCGUAGAUAUCGAGAGGAACACCAGUGGCGAAGGCGAGUCCCUGGACAACUCCUGACGCUGAGGCACGAAAGCUAGGGGAGCAAACAGG
rnacentral:rRNA from 1 species